AGCUCCCUAAAAUACAGCUAUGCUAGGCUUUAGCUUGGACGGAACAAUAGCACUGUCAAUUAAAAUGACAAGCCCCUCCCCUUUAUAUAUACCACCUUUGUCAACGGUUGAUAAUGAGAGCUAAUGAGGAGACCCUAGCUAAUUUACUGCUGCGAGCAUGGCCAAAGUGUUACAGAUUACAUUUAAAGGUAUGAACCAGUGCUGGUGGUCCACUGGGUUGGAACAAAAAGCAGGACACGUCGGCCCUCCAGGACUGGAGUUGUGCAGCCCUGACCUAAGGUAGCAGUGGGCUUCUGGUAGAAAAGAGGCCCAGAGCCCUCAGGCCUGUGUGUGUUCCAGCAGAGCCAUUAGCCUUAAAGCGGUGCGCCCUCCCCUGGCCUCAGAGCAGCUCUGUGAGCCCCUCUGCUCCUCCCACCCCAGCAGGAUCUCCAGUUUCAGAAGCCUCCACGGGAUGUCCGGGUCGUCCCCCAUCACUGUAAGCGUGGCCUCGAACUCGCCCUCCACCCGGAACUUCACCCGCCCGUUGGCUAAGACAAGGUGACAACACGUGAGUCACUCUGUGUUGGUGUACAACCUUAUGUACAUCUCCUCCCACGAAUUAGCAUUAUGUGGCCCGUGGAGAAUUUUUGGGGAAUUCCAGUCCACAACCGUACUGAUGGGUAUUGAUGGUCGCCAUGGGAAGGGGCAGAGCUUACCCACGGUGAGGUUGGCCAGUUGCGGGGGCAGGUCUGUGGUGACCAGGCGGUGACGCAGGAUCUGACUGAGCUGGUUCAGGGUGGCCUGCUUCUCUGCUUUGGUGAUGGGGUCAGGAGGGAUGAUCUUGUCCUGCAGGCACAUGUCCCCUCAGUGUUACCGGACUGCCCCACGACAAACAGCUUGUUAGUCACAACAAAUUCAGUGCCUGUGGAGAUGACUGUCAACCACUGGACAAGCGUUUUCAGCACAGAAAGGCUGGCUGCUCCAUGUUGCAUGUUAAAGACCAACAUGUCCAGUACCACUGAAGCGCUCGCAACCAUGUGAACUUAUCAAGGUUGGACAAAUAUCAACUUGUUGUUCAAUCAGAAUUUUAAAAUGUGUGGUCCACGUUCCUGCUACAAACAUUGCCUCAGCAAGCAUUUAUGAUGAUUGAUAGCAUGAUCCAUCCUGCUACAAACACUGCAUCAGCAAGCAUUUAUGACGAUUGAUGGCAUGAUCCAUUUGCUACUUCCCAUGAGGAGUCCGUGUGAAUGGUUUUAGCAACCGUUCCGUCAAGAUGUUGGCAUUCAGCUGCCUUUUGGUAUGAAGGCAGCUGAAAAUCUGUUUGGCGUAAACAUUCCCAGAAAUCUCAGUGUCAGAACUGCAGCACCAUCCCAGGGCACACAGCUUACCCUAAUGCAGGUGGGGAGACGCGGGUAGGAGCCCGUGGUCAGCACGUCGAUGGCAAAGGGGAUGGCAAAGCUGGGCAGACGGGCAUGAACCAGGGCAUCCCGCGCCAGCGAAGCCAGCCUGUCUGCUGUGUCUACAAACAGGAAGGCCUGCUGGUCCAGGAAGCUGGAGAUCAUCUGCAGAUAGAAAAAACCAACUUCAGUUUCAGAAAGACUACAGUACCCUUGAAACCACACGGGCCAAUCUUCUUGAAACACUCAACAGGACUGUAGAACCUCUUUUACAGUGGUCUCAGUGUUUUUCAGUUUCACAGUUCAUGGGUAUUUGCCUGUGUAAAAUCUAACUUUUGAUAUUCAUGAAUUCUUGACCACGUUUCAUUUUAAUUCCAAACAAAAAUAUAGCCAUUCAAAACAUUGAAGCCUAUUUGCAGAAAAUGGCAACCGGUUAAAAUAAUAAAAAUACGGUGUUAUACAUUGAAUAAUGCAAACUAAAUAAGUUUAUACAGACAGAAGGUUGCUGGUGGGUUUUGUAGGAUCUGCUGUGUGUGUGUGCACAGUACUGAGAGAGUACUCCUAAGUGUACAGUGAGGUCACAUACCGCACACUUCUCCACCUUCCCAGCAUUUCCUGCCCACUUCACUAACGCCAACAGCCUCACAAAGAGUUGCCGGGUCCGACUAGCAAACUGCACAAUGUCGACUUUCCUGUCAAAAGGCAAGCAUUUGAGAUUCAAAGGUGGCUCCACAGUCACAUACUUUCAGUAAAUUUGCUCAGUUCUUAUGACUCGCUUCUCCUUGUGUCGAGACAAACACUUACCUUUCCAUGUCUGGCUUCCUGGGUAGCCUGUAACACAUAAGAUACAUUUAGUUAAUGAUACAAAAUCAAAGCAUUAUCAAAACCUCAUCUAAUUACCAACUGCAUUAAGACACAUGGACUAAGAGUACUGGAGUUCAACCCAGCCAGGCCCAUGUGCAUUAACUUCCUUUAAAGCAAAUGACAGAGGAAAAAGCUCCACACUUCAAAGCCAACCAUGUCUGGACAAGGCUAUACAGAAUAAAGAGGUUAUUUUUGUAGCUGCGGAAGAGAAUCCUCAAUAAUAACUAGCCCAGAAUAUAGCACGAAUCCCUGCUAAUGUUCCAAAAUCUAGUGGAAAACCUUCCCAGAGGAGCGGAGGCUACUAUAGCAGCAAGAGGGGGACCAACUCCAUAUUAAUGGUUUUGGAAUGACAUGUUCAACAAGCACAUGUGGGUGUGAUGUUCUGGUGUCUACAUACUUCUGGCCAUGUAGUGUAUAUGAACCAUACACAGCAAGAGAAAGCAAACAGGGUUGUAGAUGCACGCGCACACACACACAUAGCAGGGUGUGUAACUCGGCACAUGGAGGGGCCUUAAACUGAAGCUGACAAUGAAAGGUCUGUGUGUGUGCGCGCAGUUUUAAAUGCGUUCCAUGAGAACCUCCAGCUGUGAUGCAUGUCAGUCACACAGUAUGUGGGAGGAGUUUAACUGCUGCAUGCUGGCCUCUGAAAACGCAUUACUGCAGUGGGAGGGGUCAGGAAACCUUUACGCAGCAACAGGGAGCUAAUGCUUUCACAUGCAGUGCAGGGGACUGGCUUCGUUAGUCAAACCAAAUUUACUCUUUGCUUUCACUGCAAAUCCAAUCUAAGAGGCUCGGCGAUGUUUGUUGCUGUAGCAUCAAAGAAAACAAGGCUCAUACAUACUUGGCGAAAGGUUUUAAUAAAAAAUGUACAUACAGUUGGCUCCGCGGAUACAGAUAUAAAUCAGAGCACGAUACGCAUCCUUCACUAAAUGGAUGCGAAACUUUGUUUAUUACAGCCGAUGUCUCUAAAUACAAGCUUGAACGUACCUGUAAAUGAAGUAAAUUCCUAAAAUAAUCCAAUUAUUCUCUUACAGUUGGUAAAUAAACUAGGCGUGUGUAACCUUAUAUUGAAAAGUCCACACAAACCUGUUGAGAAAAGUUCCACAACCACCUGCUUGAACCAAAUAUUACCUUGAUAUACAUGAGUAAAUUCAGCUCUACUUCGGUAAGUUGUGCGGUUUUCACUCAACGCGACUGCGACUGUUUUUUAAAACAACAUUUAACUGCCAAACUGUACUUAAAUACACAAACAAGUUCCCAUCGGUGGAACCACUGACUAUAAACCAUGGUCGAACAACCGAACGAUCAGGAGAAGAGGAUGGGUCAGCUAAUUUCCCUGGCAAUCAACAGCAGACGAAUUCCAUGUCAGGGAAAAGUGUUGACAGUAACCAGGGGCUCCAGAAAAUGCGACAAACGGGGAAAUCGCUCCACCAUCGCAUCGGCCACUUUUGACAGCUAAGUAGCUAAAUAGCAAGCUAACAAUUAAAGCGCAUAACGUUAACUAGCUAUAACUAACAAAGUCGCUAGAUAACUAACUUAACUGGCCACCUGUCAGUACUCACAGUUCAGCCAACAGGGUGAUUUCAUGAUAGGUUCUUUGCAGGAGGAAUUCGAUCAGCAGGCUAAGUCGGACGCCAUGCGUUGCCGGGGCACCUGGAGGAGGGGGCUGAGGCGCUGAAGUUGGACCCCCGGCCGGGACCAGUUGGCCAUCUGGACCAAUUUGCACCGGAGCCAUUUUAAAAACAGUUUAUAGCAACGGAGAACGAAAAAGAAAGUUAGUGAAUCUGGAGGUCUCUGAUCACUUCGGACAGGAGCUCCCCGCUUUUACACUACGUCCUGUUCGUCUUGGCAGGACGUUGGCGUCUUCGCCCCAGUGAAAAAACAGGAUACAUCCUUUGA